GAUCCUGGGCUCAGGAUGAACGCUAGCUACAGGCUUAACACAUGCAAGUCGAGGGGCAUCAGGAAGAAAGCUUGCUUUCUUUGCUGGCGACCGGCGCACGGGUGAGUAACACGUAUCCAACCUGCCCUUUACUCGGGGAUAGCCUUUCGAAAGAAAGAUUAAUACCCGAUGGCAUAAUGAUUCCGCAUGGUUUCAUUAUUAAAGGAUUCCGGUAAAGGAUGGGGAUGCGUUCCAUUAGGUUGUUGGUGAGGG
rnacentral:rRNA from 1 species